rnacentral:lncRNA from 1 species
ACUGACAUACACAGCCAAGUCAGCGUAUCAGAUGCUCAACCAGGGGCGAACAAGUCUCCAGGGAGCAGAUCUCAUAUGGAAGACAUGGGCGCCGUUGCGUGUGAAGCUCUUCCUCUGGCUAGCAUGUCGACGUCGCAUCUGGACAGCAGACAGGAGAAGGCGCCGGGGACUAGAGGCGCACGACACCUGCUUCAUGUGUGACCAAUCCAAU